CAGCCUCGGUCACCCGCAUACACAGCAGGGCCAAGCUGCUGGUUAAAACUCACUGGCUUUUAAAAAAUGAGGAUAUACAGACAUUGGCUGAGGAGAUGAUGUGUGCCUUUGAAUAAAAUCUGCAAAGAAUUGCGUAUCCUGGCACUUGUUGGAUUCAUUUGAACUCUGAGACCAGGGAAACUCCAGGACCUGCUGCGAAGUGUGUCCUGGCCUCAGGAGAACAAAAUGGAAAGGGAAAAGGGAGGUCAGAGACCAUCAAACGAAGGAGCUGCCAUGGCAUCAGCCUCAUCAUCAGGAACUGAAGAAGGGCAAGAGGCAGAUGCCCAUCCUCCCUGCCUGGAGUCUCCAACAGAACAUGUGCCCAUGACUGGUAGGCUCUACUCCUGCAUCUCCCGAACCCGUGAGGACCGUGGCAGGCCUAGAAACGCAGAAGUUCCCACCCACAAAGCCCAGAUCCGGAAAGGGAAUUUCCAGCUCAAGUUACAAGUGGCAAACCUAGUGGAAAAGAUUCACUUGUUGGGUCUGGAAGGAACAGAGAACGUGUGUGUGAGACGAGAGGAGGCACUCACCUGGCAGGACGGCAGAGAAAGCCCUGGUGUGACAUCCGACCCAUCCUGCGCUCCCCAACCUGGCCCUGCAGGUCCCAUGGAGGAGGCUGCCCGGGAGUGCAAGGAAGAAAUUCAGAGCCGUUUGGAGGAUCUCAAGAAACAAAGGGAAGAGCUUCUGGGAUUGAAACGGGCAGGAAGGAGAAGGAGUCUGGAGUAUCUG